AAAUAAAAAUAAAAAUUUUAAAAUCUUGCAAAUUAUGAACAAAAGAAAAUUCUCCUCCUUGAGGUUUGUGGAUAAAUGAAACUCAAAAGUACAAUUGUAGAAGACAUUAGGAAAAACACUUGUAAUUUGUAAGCAUAGUAAAGUGCAAAUUCUAUCCAAGUAACCAAGAGUCAAUCCUAUCGCUUUUGGAAAUUCAUUGUCCUGAUAGCCAAGGCAAAGAUAAA